rnacentral:rRNA from 1 species
CCUACGGGAGGCAGCAGUGGGGAAUAUUGCACAAUGGGGGAAACCCUGAUGCAGCAACGCCGCGUGGGUGAAGGAGCUUUUCGGCGCGUAAAGUCCUUUCAGCGGGGAAGAUGAAAGACGGUACCCGACCAAGAAGCCCCGGCUAACUACGUGCCAGCAGCCGCGGUAAUACGGAGGGGGCGAGCGUUAUCCGGAAUUACUGGGUGUAAAGGGAGCGUAGACGGCGAGGUAAGCCUGAAGUGGAAGCCCGCGGCUCAACCGGGGAACUGCUUUGGAAACUGUUUUGCAGGAGUAUGGGAGGGGUAAGCGGAAUUCCUGGUGUAGCGGUGAAAUGCGUAGAGAUCAAGAGGAACA